CAGCCGCCGCGGUAAUACGAAGGGGGCUAGCGUUGUUCGGAAUUACUGGGCGUAAAGGGCGCGUAGGCGGCCAUUCAAGUUAGAUGUGAAAGCCCUGGGCUCAACCUAGGAAUUGCAUUUGAUACUGUUUGGCUUGAGUUCGGGAGAGGUGAGUGGAAUUCCCAGUGUAGAGGUGAAAUUCGUAGAUAUUGGGAAGAACACCAGUGGCGAAGGCGGCUCACUGGACCGACACUGACGCUGAGGCGCGAAAGCGUGGGGAGCAAACAGGAUUAGAUACCCCAGUAGUCCCUGUCUCUUAUAA
rnacentral:rRNA from 1 species